rnacentral:rRNA from 1 species
GUGGGGAAUAUUGGACAAUGGGCGAAAGCCUGAUCCAGCCAUGCCGCGUGUGUGAAGAAGGUCUUCGGAUUGUAAAGCACUUUAAGUUGGGAGGAAGGGCAGUAAGUUAAUACCUUGCUGUUUUGACGUUACCGACAGAAUAAGCACCGUCUAACUUCGUGCCAGCAGCCGCGGUAAUACGAAGGGUGCAAGCGUUAAUCGGAAUUACUGGGCGUAAAGCGCGCGUAGGUGGUUUUGUAAGUUGGAGGUGAAAUCCCCGGGCUCAACCUGGGAACUGCCUCCAAAACUGCAUGACUAGAGUACGGUAGAGGGUAGUGGAAUUUCCUGUGUAGCGGUGAAAUGCGUAGAUAUAGGAAGGAACACCAGUGGCGAAGGCGACUACCUGGACUGAUACUGACACUGAGGUGCGAAAGCGUGGGGAGCAAACAGGAUUAGAAACCCUGGUAGUCC